GACGAACGCUGGCGGCGUGCUUAACACAUGCAAGUCGAACGAUGAAGCCGGAGCUUGCUCUGGUGAAUUAGUGGCGAACGGGUGAGUAACACGUGAGUAACCUGCCCUUGACUCUGGGAUAACUGCGGGGAACUGUGGCUAAUACCGGAUACGACCCUCGGAGGCAUCUCCUGGGGGUGGAAAGAAUUUCGGUCAAGGAUGGACUCGCGGCCUAUCAGCUAGUUGGUGAGGUAACGGCUCACCAAGGCGACGACGGGUAGCCGGCCUGAGAGGGUGACCGGCCACACUGGGACUGAGACACGGCCCAGACUCCUACGGGAGGCAGCAGUGGGGAAUAUUGCACAAUGGGCGCAAGCCUGAUGCAGCAACGCCGCGUGAGGGAUGACGGCCUUCGAGUUGUAAACCUCUUUUAGCAGGGAAGAAGCGAAAGUGACGGUACCUGCAGAAAAAGCACCGGCUAACUACGUGCCAGCCGCCGCAGUAA
rnacentral:rRNA from 1 species